rnacentral:rRNA from 1 species
AGCGAACGCUGGCGGCAGGCUUAACACAUGCAAGUCGAGCGGGCGUAGCAAUACGUCAGCGGCAGACGGGUGAGUAACGCGUGGGAACAUACCUUUUGGUUCGGAACAACACAGGGAAACUUGUGCUAAUACCGGAUAAGCCCUUACGGGGAAAGAUUUAUCGCCGAAAGAUUGGCCCGCGUCUGAUUAGCUAGUUGGUGAGGUAACGGCUCACCAAGGCGACGAUCAGUAGCUGGCUGAGAGGAUGAUCAGCCACAUUGGGACUGAGACACGGCCCAAACUCCUACGGGAGGCAGCAGUGGGGAAUAUUGGACAAUGGGCGCAAGCCUGAUCCAGCCAUGCCGCGUGAGUGAUGAAGG